AAAGAGACAGGUGAGUCAUCGAAUCUUUGAACGCACAUUGCGCCCCUUGGUAUUCCGGGGGGCAUGCCUGUUUGAGUGUCAUGUAGACUCAAUCCCUCGGGUUUCCGAGGAGAUUGGAUUUGGGUGUCUGCCUCUUCUGGCUCACCUCAAAAGACUUAGCGGGAUAGCACCGUAGUCGACGUAAUAAGUUUCGUCGGUAAAAGUGUGAUGUCUGCUCACAAUCGCCCCUGGGCACUUUUGACUCUGACCUCAAAUCAGGUAGGACUACCCGCUGAACUUAAGCAUAUCAAUAAGCGGAGG
rnacentral:misc_RNA from 1 species